AAGAUGGCGACUGUCAUUCACAACCCCCUGAAACCACUUGGGGAUCAGUUCUACAAAGAAGCGAUUGAGCACUGUCGCAACUACAACGCAAGGCUAUGUGCUGAACGCAGUGUUCGCCUCCCUUUUCUUGACUCACAGACUGGUGUAGCCCAGAACAACUGCUACAUCUGGAUGGAGAAAAGGCACAGAGGACCAGGUGUGGCUCCGGGACAGUUGUACACAUAUCCUGCUCGAUGUUGGAGAAAGAAGAGACGUUUGCAUCAUCCUGAAGAUCCAAGGUUAAGACUCCUGGAGAUAAAAGCAGAUGUAGACUUCCCUUUGCGGAAAGACAACGUUAUGUCGGAGGGUACCACACUAGAAGCCCUUCUACGGGGUGAAGGACUAGAAAAGAAAGACCUCAGAGAUGAGGACAGUCUACAAGAAAUUCAGAGGGUUUUAGAAAAUGAUGAAAAUGCAGAUGAUGCAAAUGGUGAUGAUGACUUUGAAGAGGAGCUUCCAAAAAGAAAGAACCGGAGCAGGGGACGGGCUCGUGGUGGCAGGAGGAGGAACGAUACUUCUUUUGAUGAGCAGGAUAAACCUUACGUAUGUGACAAUAGUUACAAACAAAAGCAUAACCCAAAAACAGCCGAAAAAGUCUGUGGAAAACGUUACAAGAACAGACCUGGCCUGAGCUACCAUUAUACCCACACUCAUCUCGCUGAUGAAGAAGGGACAGACAGCAGGGACCAAGAAUCUCGAUCUCCAUGUUCCCCUUCCAUUCACAGAAGUGAAAACCAGAAACCUCGCAAAGGAACAGAUGGUGCUAUACUUUCCAAUAACUACUGUGAUUUUUGCCUUGGAGACUCCACCAUAAACAAGAAAAGUGGACAACCAGAGGAACUUGUAUCCUGCGCAGACUGUGGACGCUCUGCUCAUUUGGGAAGAGAAAGCAGAAAAGAGGAGCUGCACAACGCAGAGGACUUGUUCGGAUCCACGUCAGAAAGCGACACUUCCACGUUUCAUGGCUUUGAUGAGGAUGACUGGGAGGGGCCUUCCUCAGCCCGAGCCACUCACUCCCCCACUGCAGAGGACUGGGGAGACUGCUAAAGCAAAUGAAUUGGAUCACCCCCAUCUUCUACCUGACACUUUCAAUCCCUACCUUCAUUUUUUUUUUUUUUUUGUUUAGCACUUUCCCCUCGUUAAGAUUUUUAUUUCUUCUCCAUUUACAAAGCACAACUGUACCCAAACUGGACAUUGAAAAAUUAUCUGAAUAUUUUGCAAGUUCGUUUAAAAUGAAAACUGUGGAUACACAUAUUUUUUUUUUCCUUCGGUAUGAGCAGAGCUCAUCUCCAGUAUUAGCCAGCAACCCAGAGCUGGUGUUAAGGCCACUUUGGAUAGAUAAGUGAAUGCCUUUAAUAGUCACAAUUCACAAUAAAAACAGAUGUCAGGAAAACACUGGAAUCCUACUUACUUUCUGUCUGCGACCCUGAUUACCUCAGUGACAGAAGACUUUUGUAAAAUAAUGGUUUUAUGGGAUUUUGCACACACAGUGAGGAAUCAGCCUAAGAUAAUGCAAACACAGCUGUACAAGGAGCAAGUUCCUCAUUAUUUUUCUCCACUUGAACCUCUGCAUGAGGACAGAGGUUUUUUUGUUUUGUUUUUUAGUUAUAGGACAAGUAUAAAAGCAAAUAGGAUAAAUACCUCAGACUUGCUUUUUUCACUUGCAAUGAUUUAUAUGUGCUAUUUAUUUUUCUUUGGCUCAAAAGACUCCCUGAUGUCUAAAAGGCACCUUUUUGUCUCCUUAUUCAAUACCACCUACUAGAAGAUACCAAAGCAACACCCAUUAAUGGUCCACAGGGCAAUGGAAAUGAGACCAAACUAUCAUCGCACCUGCUGAGCUGAAUUCAGACUGCGCUGCAGCAGGAUUGCAAAGGUCACCAUGCCCUACGAUGAUCAUCUACUUCCUACAAGAAAGCAAUCAGAGUUGGUUUUGAUGAGGAUAACAUUGACUUCAUGUAACGAUACUCUGCACCUGGAGCCCAACCCUUGCUUGUGCAAUAUGAGGGAUAUAAUAAUACUGGCGCCUGCUGAAGAUCUUUUUGGGUUUAAAUUUUAUAUACACAUUUUUAGCUUAGAUUUGGUGUUUGACACCCAGCUAGUUAAAUGUAAAUUUAACAAACAAAACAAUAUUGCUCCUUAUUUAUUUCAAUAUUUAAACAGAAAAUAGGAUAUCCCAGGGCUGAAGUUGCACAGUAUACUUGUUUUCAUACAUUUUACGUGGACCAGGAGUAUCGUACUAAAAUGAAUGAAAGCACUUAUGCAAAAAGGUGCUGGUGACUUUUUUUUAUUCAUUUUCUAUCCUGUACAAAUGUAAAGAAGAUUUGUUUAGGCUUUUUUUCCCCCUCACAGGUUUCUUAUUAUGUUUACCAGGUUUAUUUUUUCUAAUUUUGUAGUGAAAUUAUUGGUAUGUAUAAGUGAAUAAGAAAUUUACAUUUUGCGUUAUGCUGGCUGGUGCCUGCCACCCCUGCUGAGAUGUUUACCAGGCUGUCAAUCACUGAUAAAAUGGAUAUGCGCUGUACCAAUGUACAAGAAAUUACUGUGACUUACUGUUAAAUCUGCUGCUGAAUCGAUAACGGUACAGGCAACACUGGUAGGGCUCAACUUUUCCCACAAUUAUGUAAGUUAUCGUGUUUUUAAUUAAUUAAUAUUUUUUUUAAGCAGUUGGAUGCAUUCUACAUACCCACAUACAAAUCUAUAAGCAGAGCUCAAAGUUGUGCAUUUUUUUUUUUUUUUAUUAAAAAAAAACUUUUUUGCACUUGUCAUUGAACUGAAAUUUCAGUAUUGUGCCAGUAAAAAGUGCCCUUUGGUUGGUCUCACAUACUGCAGUUUGUAUCCAAGGAUCCAUUCCUUCUCUUAAAGGUUAAAGGGGUUGUCCUGCCAUUUAUAGUGAUGACCUCUGCCCAGGAUAGGUCAUCAAUAUCAGACACCCCUGACUAUCAAGAGGAGGUGGCGGUCCAUGCGAGCGCUGCUCCCGUUCAUUACACUGCCUGUAGUCUUAGAAGUGCAGUGUAAUGACGAGUACUCGCUCUAGUCACUUAAAUACAGCAAGUACUUGUAAUUACAGUAUGCCACAGCUUCAGAGGAGUAGUGUAGUAAAGAGGAAGCAGUGCUCGCAUGGAGCUCUGCCUCCUCUUCGGGAGUAUUGAUGAACUAUACUAGUGAUAGCUCAUCAAUAUAAAUGGCAGGACAACCCCUGUAAGUGGAGCCCAGACCAUACAACACAUUGCUGGGUUUUACUGUGAAGUUAAAGGGGUUGUCCAGUUUCUGAUAUUAGUGACCUAUCCUCAGGACCCCCCAACUCCAAAAAUCAGCUUUUUGAUGAAGAUCACAGUUCUCAUGCAAGCACUGCAUUCUCUUUACUUGUCAGCUGUCACCAUUGCAGCUGCAAGCAGUGUAACUACAGCUCCUCCAUCCAAUUCACUUAAAUGGUACUCAGUGUAAAUACAACUGCUCCUUCCCAUUCAAGUGAAUAGAAUGGAUUUGCUGUGAUAACAAUGGUUGCCGCUGCAGCUGAUCAGUGAGUGUGCCAUGAUUUGGACCCCCACCAAUCUGAUAUUGAUGACCUAUCCUGAGGAUAGGUCAUCAAUAUCAGAAACCAGACAACCCUCUUUAAUACUUUGUCCUGAAAGUUUAUGCAGUAUUUUAAUCUGGCAAAUUUGUGAUAACCUAUAGGACAGCAGUCCAUAUUUUAAAAGGAAAAAGUAACUAGCAACAGUUUAUCAUAAAAAAAUAAAACAAAACCUAGUUGUCACAUCCUUAGAUGCUUUUUUUAAGGCAAAGAGUGAAUCCAAAAGGAAGAAAAUUUAUAAAGUAAAGAUAACUGCAUCCUAUUUUUGUGUAAACUCAUCCUUACCUCAUAAAUCUUGGGAACGUACCCCAAAUGAGCUGUGUGUCUGCAACAUUUUUACCACACACUCCAAAAAAAUAAAUAAAUGGAGAAAAAGUGAAGGCCAGAACAUACAUGACUAUUUCAUAAAUGUGUCCCGAAGUCUUCUUUAGAAUAUGAAAGUUUUUAUGCUUAGUGGCGAGUAUUAAUGGGAGCUUGUAGUCCAUGCACCAUUCAGUGUCAGUGUUAUAAUAAUGACCACGGCAUCAAGAUUUUGUGUAUAAAGAAGGGACACGUUAUGCCUUAUUUAUGUCACUCCAGAGAGGUUUUGUGUCUAUAGCCAUAAUAUGUGAAUUUGACUGAUUACGGUAGAUAUGAAAUAAGCUGUAUGGAAUGAGAGCCCGUUACUUUAGCAUCUUUCCUGUGGCUGCCUAUGCUGCACUUUCAAUGUAAAUAUAGCUGUAUUUUGAUGCCAAUAUUACGCCAAGACCUGGAUUCCAAAGCUUCAAAUAAGCUGAAUUUGGGUCACUAUAUAGAACCCUAUGGAAUAGAAGUUCGGUUCAGCAGAAUAUGGGUAUUAAGGGCAUAAUACAGACUUUACUAUACAGCUUUAUUAUUUUUCUGUAACCGAAGGCAGACUAAAUGUAAACCCAUACUAAAGCUACACCACAUCUCAAACAGCCUCUGCAGAAAUAUUGCUAUCCCAUGAAACAACAAAAUUUGAAAUACUGUAUAUUGGGGAUCUUUGAGAUCCCCCUAGACAGCUGGAGGACACGCUUAAUUUAUGAUGAGGCACAGGCCUAGUCAUAAAUUAGAUGUAUCCUGCAGCAGUCCACGUGUCUAGAGUAGAUUUUAGUCAUCAUUUACACCAGUAAACUGGCACAAAUAUUAGUGAAUGUACUGGGAAUGAUGGCCCAGCAAACAGCUCACCCUCGCCACUCUCCCUUUUCAGAAAGUGGAGAGGGUGACGUAGAAAAACCACUUGAUCCUACAUUUAGGUGCAAUGGCAUUAAAAAAUUCUCAAACCACGGGUUUGUGACCCUUUUUCACACCAAUUUCUGGCGUAGGGGGUCAUAGUAAAUUUAUAAAAUGCUGGAUGGCAUUUGAUAAAUUUGGUACAUCUCUAAGCUCAAAAACUUUUGUCUAGAGAGGUUACUCCAGGUCUUGUAUGCUACCCCCCACUCUACUGGAGGGAGAUUGAACCUUUUUCUACAUCAUUAUAAAAAACUGCCGUUCAUAAAGUAUGCCAACUCUUCACCCCCAAUUUACAAAAGUGUGAGGGAGGUGUAAAAACAGAGUAGCAAAGUUUUUGUGCAAACAUGGUAAGCACAAAAAACUGCUUUUUUUUUACACUUUUCCCGGUAUAAGUGGAACGAUCAAUACAUCCUAAGGUCCCUUUCAGACUAGCGAGUUCCACGCAUCAGACUUGCAGAGUGAGUAUGCAGCAGCUCCCGUCCUGAUCUCUUAACACUGAUGGGGUCGCAAAGCAUUAUAU